rnacentral:lncRNA from 1 species
AUAUUCUUCUGAGUGUCCAUGAAUGUUAUUUCGACAUGCUAGAAGUAAUGUCUUUGAGAAACCAGGAACGUCAUACACCGGAAUAUAAGCUUCGAAGAAUGUUGCCAACAUUUGCUCUUCAAGUGGAGAGAAUGCUCAGGUUGCCUAUGCAUCCUGGAAAUAAAAUUUCAAGUGAGUUUAUUUGAAGAGUAGACAUCGAUCUAUCUACAUAUCCUUUUUGUGCUAAUAUUAUUUAACAGAAACACCACAAAGAUAAAAACAUACACCUUCCAUUUUCUCACUUGUUAUCACAGUCCACAAAUAUGUCCAC